CCCUACGGGGCGCAGCAGCAAGGAAUAUUGUGCAAUGGGCGAAAGCCUGACACAGCGACGCCGCGUGAGGGAUGAAGGCCUUCGGGUCGUAAACCUCUUUUCUCAGGGAGGAGUAAGGACAGUACCUGAGGAAUAAGCCACGGCUAACUACGUGCCAGCAGCUGCGGUAAAACGUAGGUGGCGAGCGUUAUCCGGAUUUAUUGGGCGUAAAGAGGGCGCAGGCGGCCUGGUAAGUCGAAUGUGAAAUCUCCCGGCUUAACUGGGAGGGGUCAUUCGAUACUAUCAAGCUGGAGUGCGACAGGGGGAGGUAGAAUUCCCGGUGUAGUGGUGAAAUGCGUAGAUAUCGGGAGGAAUACCAGUGGCGAAGGCGGCCUCCUGGGUCGUUACUGACGCUUAAGCCCGAAAGCGUGGGGAGCAAACAGGAUUAGAUACCCCGGU
rnacentral:rRNA from 1 species